rnacentral:snoRNA from 10 species
AGAUUGAUGAUGACUCCCUCCUCAACUGCAUUCUUUUAAAGCUGCACAAACCUGAGUGAGAACUCACUACCGUCAUUCUCAUCAGUGCU